AUGCAGUCGAACGGUAACAUUUCUAGCUUGCUAGAAGAUGACGAGUGGCGGACGGGUGAGUAAUGCUUGGGAACUUGCCUUUGCGAGGGGGAUAACAGUUGGAAACGACUGCUAAUACCGCAUAAUGUCUUCGGACCAAACGGGGCUUCGGCUCCGGCGCAAAGAGAGGCCCAAGUGAGAUUAGCUAGUUGGUAAGGUAACGGCUUACCAAGGCGACGAUCUCUAGCUGUUCUGAGAGGAAGAUCAGCCACACUGGGACUGAGACACGGCCCAGACUCCUACGGGAGGCAGCAGUGGGGAAUAUUGCACAAUGGGGGAAACCCUGAUGCAGCCAUGCCGCGUGUGUGAAGAAGGCCUUCGGGUUGUAAAGCACUUUCAGUUGUGAGGAAAAGUUAGUAGUUAAUACCUGCUAGCCGUGACGUUAACAACAGAAGAAGCACCGGCUAACUCCGUGCCAGCAGCCGCGGUAAUACGGAGGGUGCGAGCGUUAAUCGGAAUUACUGGGCGUAAAGCGCACGCAGGCGGUUUGUUAAGCUAGAUGUGAAAGCCCCGGGCUCAACCUGGGAUGGUCAUUUAGAACUGGCAGACUAGAGUCUUGGAGAGGGGAGUGGAAUUCCAGGUGUAGCGGUGAAAUGCGUAGAUAUCUGGAGGAACAUCAGUGGCGAAGGCGACUCCCUGGCCAAAGACUGACGCUCAUGUGCGAAAGUGUGGGUAGCGAACAGGAUUAGAUACCCUGGUAGUCCACACCGUAAACGCUGUCUACUAGCUGUGUGUGCCUUUAAGGCGUGCGUAGCGAAGCUAACGCGCUAAGUAGAC
rnacentral:rRNA from 1 species